rnacentral:rRNA from 1 species
AUGGCCAAAUACUGGUGGAGCAGUAACCUUGAUCACCGGUCUUUACAUUGGUUAUCUUGGGUUUCUUUGGCUGCACCAAAAGUUAAAGGAGGGAUGGGAUUCAAAGACUUGCAACUCUUUAAUUUAGCACUACUCGGCAAGCAUGGGUGGCGCUUGAUGACGAAUCCCAACUCUCUGUGUUCGCGGGUCUUGAAAGGAAGAUAUUUCCACUCCUGUGAUUUCAUGCAAGCUACUGCACCUAAGUUUUCUUCAGCUGUGUGGAGGGCUAUAAUCGUAGGCAGGGAAGUGUUGAAAUCGGGCUUGCUUAAGCGCAUUGGAAGCGGCACGACCGUUUCUAUCUGGGAGGACAAAUGGAUCCCUGAUACCAGAACUAUGACUCCGGUUGCUCACAUUGGUAAUGCGCAGCUACAACAAGUGUCUGAUCUUAUCGAUCCUGAAACUUGGCUCUGGAAAGAUCAGGUAAUCAGAGAGAACUUCAUACCAUCAGAUGCAGACGCCAUUCUGAACAUCCCCCUAUGGAUUGGCGGUGGUGAUGAUAUUUUGGCAUGGGCUUUGGAGAGAUCUGGUUCAUACACUAUCAAGUCAGCUUACCGCGCUCUCGUGAAUUAG